AGGGAUGUAGCGCAGCUUGGUAGCGCGCGUUUGUUUUGGGUACAAAAUGUUACGUGUUCAAGUCAUGUCAUCCCCC
rnacentral:tRNA from 1 species